GACGAGUCUGCGGCCCAUCAGCUUGUUGGUGAGGUAAUGGCUUACCAAGGCAAAGACGGGUAGCUGGUCUGAGAGGAUGAUCAGCCACACUGGUACUGGAACACGGACCAGACUCCUACGGGAGGCAGCAGUGAGGAAUAUUGGGCAAUGGGCGAAAGCCUGACCCAGCCACGCCGUGUGUGUGAUGAAGGCCUUCGGGUCGUAAAGCACUGUGGGGAGAGACGAACAUGCGCAUGAGGAAAUGCUUGCGCACUGACGGUACCUCCUUAGAAAGCACCGGCUAAC
rnacentral:rRNA from 1 species